UACAGAGGGUGCGAGCGUUAAUCGGAAUUACUGGGCGUAAAGCGCGCGUAGGCGGCUUUUGCAAGUCGGGUGUGAAAAUCCCCAGGCUUAACCUGGGAACUGCAUUCGAGACUGCAUUGCUAGAGUAUGGGAGAGGGGAAGUGGAAUUUUCCGGUGUAGCGGUGAAAAUGCGUAGAUAUCGGAAGGAACAUCAGUGGCGAAAAGCGACUUCCUGGACCAAUACUGACGCUCAUGUGCGAAAGCGUGGGGAGCAAACAGG
rnacentral:rRNA from 1 species